GUGAAAAUGAUUAAACAAGAAAGUAUUCCAUAAACAUCACUGAUUCAUUGGGACCGACAAGGCGACAAAUCGUUGGCCCUACUUGCGUCAAGAAUGCACAUGCAAAUCAAAUAAUAAUGGUAUGGUACUGCUGGAGAUGUCAUGUCAUGCAGUGCACAAACCGACCAAAUAACAACAUGAGAUGCAACCAUAUAUAAAAGGAGUAUUCAUUCAUUAGCACCACUUCCCCAUAUAGAAUGAUCGUCAUUAUAUUCAUCGCCAACACUGAUGCUUCCAUAAACAUAACAGCACAAGCAAAAGCAUCCAACUACAGCCGGCUGUAGGUUUCCAGUAGUUUCAGAUUAUCCGGAGUUCUUAGCAUGUAACAUCAUUAAAAAAAAACAAAACUCUCUAGUUAAU
rnacentral:lncRNA from 1 species